rnacentral:rRNA from 1 species
UUCAAAAACAUGUCCUUUUGUUUAUUUUAUAUAAGGUCUGACCUGCCCACUGAUUAUUUUAAAUGGCCGCGGUAUUCUAACUGUGCUAAGGUAGCAUAAUCAUUUGUCUUUUAAUUGAAGGCUGGUAUGAAUGGUUGGACGAAGUAAAUUCUUUCUUUAACUUAAUUUGUGAAUUUAAUUUUUUGGUUAAAAAGCCAAGAUUUUUUUGUUAGACGAGAAGACCCUAUAGAUCUUGAUAUUGUAAUGGUUUUUUAAUUUGGGUUAUGAUUUAUUAUGAUUUUAAAAGUAUUUGGUUGGGGUGAUUUUGGAAUUUUAUUAACUUCCAAUUUUUAAUUUUCACUUAUUUGUGUAUAUUUGAUCUUUUAUUAAUGAUUAUAAGUUUAAGUUACCUUAGGGAUAACAGCGUAAUUUCUUUGGAGAGUUCAUAUCGAUAAAGAAGUUUGCGACCUCGAUGUUGGAUUAAAAUUAGUAAUUGAUGUAGAAGUCUUUUAACUGGGUCUGUUCGACCUUUAAUUUUUUACAUGAUCUGAGUUA